rnacentral:misc_RNA from 1 species
AUUUCUCAACCUUACUAGCUUUGCUAGUCUGGCUUGGAUGUGGAGGUUUAUGCAGGCUUUUUACAAGUCAGCUCCUCUGAAAUGCAUUAGCGGUACCCUAGUGGUUAACAGCUAUUGGUGUGAUAACUAUCUACGCCAUUAGUAGUGCCACGACUAUACAAUAGGGUUAUGCUGCUGUCUAACCGUCUACUUGGUAGACAACUAUUUGACAA